GUUGAAUUUCUGGCUGAAAUAUGAUUGAUAUAUCACUGAAAACAAAAACCAUCAUCUGGAACAAUAGCGGCUGUCUCAAGUUUCCCAGCCUUACAGGAGAAUGUAAUGAAAAUUGAGUACUAUACCUGAAGACCCUCUCUCACUGCCUCCAGAAUAUAAGGUACUAAAGAAUAGUUCCAGAGAUCCAUGAACCACACUCUAGAACCUUCUACAUCCAUGGGG